AUUGAUGUGUAUUUUUUAUUUUUUUCUAAUUAGAUUAUUUGUCUAAUCAUGAAUAAGUUUGUUAUUAAAAAAAAUUGUCGAGGAUACAAUAGUGGAGGCAAUUCAUCAAAAACAAGUUAUACGAAACUCAAUUUAGAUGAUUUUUUUUUAUUUUAGGUUAUGAAAUUUUUUAAAUAUCAUCUUUAAUUAUAGAGACAAAGCUUGAAGAGCAAGUUUGUAAAAAAGAUCUCUGUCAACCUCAUGAUUAUAAAUUUUCCUGAAAGAAAGAUAGGAAUAUAUAUCAUGAUUUGAUCCAAUUUGGUGCAAAGAGCAUGGUUAUCGGUUAGAGUAUAACAAAGAUAAUGAUUUGACAUUUUGUUUAUGUUGUUAUUUUUAUAGGCCACUAUGAGAAAUCAAGCAAGUGGAGAUUAUAUUGUUGGCAUCAGAUUUAGAAUUGGAAAGGUAAAAAAAGAUUUGAGAUUCAUUUUGGAGGUCCUAAUAAUGCUCACAACCAAGAUUAGAGGAAAUGCCAAGAUUUAAUUAAUCAAAAGCAACACAUUAAAGUUGCUUAUGUCAGAAUUUCAAAUCAAACUUAAAAAGAUUUUCAAAUUCGAUUGAUUAUAACUGUUGAUUAUAUUCAUUUUCUUUUGUGUUAAAGACUAGCUUUUCAUGCUUGUCCUGAAUCUAAGGAUUCAAAGAAUCAAAGAAACUUUCUUGAACUUCUAUGGUUUCUUAUGGCUCAUAAUCAAGGAAUCAAAGAUGUUGUUUUAAAAAAAUCUCAUGAAAAUCUAAAAAAUAUAGCUCAUGGCAUUCAAAAAGAUAUUGUACAUGUUGCAAUAGAAACCACUAAUAUCAUCUUGAAUGAUUUUGGUCGUGAGUUCUUCAUUAUUUUAAUUGAUAAGCUUCGUGAUGUAUCAGUUAAAAAGAAAAUGAUUGUUAUUCUAUGCUAUGUAGAUGCGAAGGGAUGUUUUAUUGAAUGCUUUCUUGAUAUUGUGCAUGUUAAAAACACAAUCGCUCUAUCACUUAAGGAGGCAAUUGAGGCAUUUUUUUACCUUACAUGGGCUUAAUAUAUCACAUUUGCGUGGAAAAGAAAGGUUAUGAUGGAGCUAGUAACAUGCAAGCUCUCCCUCAGGUUGCAAUGAACUUAUUGUACGGCGAAUGCUAUCUAUCAAUUGUUGGUUGCUCCAAGGCCUUUCGCACUCUAAUGCUUAUGAUAAUCGAUCUCCGCCGGUAACAAACAUCUCGCUUCUCGUUGUGGUCAGUUAUCCAUUCUACUGUAUUUACCCUGUUGAAACUGUAGUGAAAUGCUCACUUUCAGCUGAUGCCGUCUUGUCUGCCUUUUCGUCGUUUAACUGCUUGUAAUUUAUUGCUGUCAGCCUGGUUUCGUGAUUGAGGCCAGUUUCGGUGUUUGAUUUCACAUGUCUCCUCGUUAUAUAUUCAUUAGGGGUCAUUUUAUCAUGAGUUGCCGCGACGACAAAUUCUUGGAACCUACCUUUUACCUAACUAACGUGUCCUCUGUCAUGUUGUCAAGGGUGGAGUGUCAGGUCUGCGGUAGUAUCAGAAAGCAUGAUGAGCCUUUUUAUCCACAUUAUUUUUUUUAGUGCAUUACAACUGAAUGAAAGCAUGAAAGGUUUUCAAAUAAUGUGAAACAAUCAAUCACGAUUUUACGCUUUCUUGUCUUGAGAUGUACAGUAUCAGGUCGCAUAGUUGCAAGGGGAAAAUACUACAAAAUCCUUUCGAGUAACAGGGAGAGCUGCGCGCAUGCUGUAUGCGGAGGACAAUAAAAUUGGCUUCUCAGCCUUGCUUUCGUUCAAGCUGAAUGUUGGCCAAUAAUGAUUAUAUUCUAUUACACUUAGACAGUGGUAAAUCACCUAACGUUUGAUCGAAUUCGGGUCGAAAAUGUCGUUGUGCGUUUGAUUCAAAGAAAGCACUUGAGAGUCGAGACCAAAUGUGAAGGCGGUGCCUCAGCAAAACAUUGUAUGCUAGGGAAAGGGAAAGGAAGGUGGGGAAGAAAGAUGCACAUGAUGGUAGUAUUUUUAUGCUGGAUAAUGAUAGAUUAUAUAUGAUAAUUUUUUUGUGAA